ensembl:rRNA 5S_rRNA 5S ribosomal RNA
GCCAGCAGCUAUAUCACCCUGCAACUCACACCUGGCAACCCACUGAAGCUCAGCAGGUGUGAGCCUGGUCAGUACCUGGAUGGGAGACCUCCUGGGAAAAACUAAGGUUGCUGCUGGAA